UUUCUGAAUAGUGGGGUCUGAAUUGAUGAGCUCUUCCGAGCAUCUUGCUUUGCUACCAGCCCCUGUCACAGUAAAUCUGAUAAGCAAUGUAGGGGGUGCGCACUCACCGACAAUAGCCCUCAGUGGGGCUGUUGGCAUAGCCCAGCCUUGGCUGCCGGCCUUGGUUGAGAGGAGGGCAGGGGCCUGGCCCCGGUGGAGCAGAGUCUCCGUGCAGUGCCCACGGGCCCAAGGAAUUCGUGUAUCCAGCUGGCCUCCCCCCUGCAUAUUCGCAGGUGGAGGGGAAACAUCAGAAUCCAAUUUUUUGUCACCUUGUGAAAUUAUGAGCCUCCAUUCCAGUUGUGUUGGUAUCAUCAGAGCACAGGGGACACGUGGGGUGAUGGCUGUUGCUGGGUUACUCCUUGUAAGUUCAAACAGUUCCACAUGCUGAAUGACAACAUAUUUGCCGUGACCUGGGUAAAUUAAACUGAUGCUUCCUGCCUAGGUAGACUUUGACGUGAUUCGGUACAUCUGCUUCUGAUGAAGGGCAUGCCUCACUCAGUAAAGCAGGAAAUAAAAAGGCAGCACUACCUUGCCUAGGAGAAACGCCAGUGCAAGCUGCUCUGUGUUCUUGGCGCCAGACCCUGUUCUCCAUGUGUACACAAGUCUGAGUCCUGUGUCCAAACAGAAGACAGAAAUGUGAUCAGGGCCGGGUACAGGAGGGGAUUUGACAGGUCUUCUGCAUCCCAAGUCUCCAAGAUGCAAAGCAUCCUCCAGACAUGACUUCUACCUCACGGUAUUCCAUGGCUGCCUGAACUCCAGCCAUCAUAUCCACAUUCCAACCCACAAGAAGGAAGAUGGAGGAAAUGUCGGAGGCGGAAAUUCCUGGGCCCAUAAUGUGCACACCCAUCGGAUGGCGGAGCAGUUUCUGGUUCCGGGCAGCUGGCUUGACACCUGAGCUUGUGCACAUCUAAUCAGCUCCCAGGUGACGCCGAUGCUGCUGGUCUGUGGACCACACUUUGAGUAGUGAGCAUCUAGGUCCCCUGGGUCUUCCUCAUGGCUGUUGUCACAGUUCAAGGUCACAAAAGAAGACAGUCGCAUCUUUUCCAUGGAAUUAUUUGGAUCCACCUUCCAUGGGAAGAGCCCCGUGGGAGUCAGUGUUGAGCCUCUUCGUCAGUGUUGGUUUGCUUUUACUGUCCAGUUUUGGUCUGAGGUCCCAGUGCUGUGUAAAGAUCUCACCUGUGCUGGCUUUUGUCCCUGGCUGGUGCAAAAGUGGAUUUCCCGGGAAGCUAAUGAAGCUUAAACUUCAGGAGCCCUCACUUGCACAGAUCCCUUCCCACGUCCUCAGACAUAUAAGCAGUUUAUAGCCAGGCCUGAUGGAUUGGAAUCAGAUGGCAAAACCCAGAUUAACCCCAUGGAUCCUGGUGGCCCUUGGUCAGCCCUUGCUAUUAAUGAUGUUUUCACCUGAGUGAAUGCGGUAGACUUUGCUUUAGAGAUAAAUAUGCAGCUCAGUCCCUGAUGUCUGGCUGUCGCAAAAAUGUCUGAAGGGAGACCAAAUGUCAGUCAAAUCUCCCUGCCUGCCUCAACCCAGUACGUAAUCAGCCCCAAGAAUCUCUACUAUCACAGCCACUAACAACUUAAACAGCAGAUGCAUGGCAAUAAAAUACAGGAGGAUAAAGAAGAGCUAAAGAAAGAACUAUUCCAUUUUCCAGAAGAAUUUAGACAAAAUGUAAAGGAGCCAGGACUUGCUGGGUUCAAAUAUAAAAGUCUUUUUCAUCCCUGCUCUUUUCUGGCAAAAGAGUCUCAAAGUAGUAAUUGGCAUCUAGGCUGCCAGUAAAACAUGGCCUCAGAGUAAGAUCAGAUCAAGGGUAUAGCUGUAAGACCCUUUGUUGAGAUCUCAAAAGAUUUAGUACAGUGACUUGUAGACCAUCUCAUGUAGACAAAAUGUUUUCUGAGAAUCUUAAAGAUGCUGUCCCACAGCCCUGACUUGCAUCCUAAAAUAGAGACAGAUCUGUCUCAAAGAAAUUUGUGGAUGUGGCUUUUGUCUAAUGAGGUACAUUUAUAACUUGAUACACAGGAAAUCCACUAAGUUCUGAAAGGAAUUACAUUGGCUUGGACUGAAAGGACAGAGAGAGUUCAAAAUAAAAAGAGACCUCUGAGUCUUCAACUUCCUAAAGAGAGGGAACAGGCUGAAGAAGCUACUCAAAUGCAAACAUGAAUAUUUACUAUGGAAAAGGAAAGGUGACUCAGAGGGCAGAAUCAAGAGCUACAGGGAACCCUUCCCAGAGAGAAAGCCUGGCAGCUUCGAUUUUUGUGCUCUUAGGGAAGUCAGGUGCUGUGUAAGAAAUCCAACUACCCUGACAACCAGCAUGCUGUGGAGAAGUUCAAGCUAACCACGUGAAGAGGCCACAUGUAGAAGAAGUGAGGAACCAAGCCCAUGGUGAGAACUGAGGCCCCAGACAUCUGAACCAAAUCAAGCCAUACUUGCUGGAUUCCAGCUGUUUGAGCAGCUCCUGCUGAUGCCAGAUGGAGCAGAAAUGAGCUGUUCUGGCCAACCCUUGCUCAACUUAUAGAACUGCCCUGUUCUGGAUAUUAAGGAUUCAACGGUGAACCAAACAGGAGAGCCAGAACAAAGUACCAUGAACUGAGGGGCUUAUUACAACAACAGAAACGUGCUUUCUCACAGUUCUGGAGGCUGGAAGUCCAAGAUCAUGGUGUCGGUGGGGUUGUUUCCUUCGGAGAGCUGUGAGGGAGACCCCUCUUGGCUUGCAGAAGCAUCACCCCAAUCUCUGCCUUCAUCUUCACAUAGUGUUCCCCUCUGUGUGUGUCUCUGUGUCCAGAUUCCCCUUUGUUAUAAGGACACCAGUCAAAGUGGACUAAGACCCACCCUCAUGACCUCGUCUUAACUUGACAACACCUGUAAAGACCCAAUCUCCAAAUAAAAUCACAUUGUAGGGCACUGGGA